GCAUAAUGAACCUACGAGUUGCCUUUGCCGGCAAGGUUAAGUGUGACGACACACGUAUCCGAAGCGAAAGCGAGUCUGAAGAGGGCGUAUAGUCGGCAGUGGCAGACGCGAAACCAAGUGAUCUACCCUUGGCCAGGUUGAAGGCUGGGUAACACCAGCUGGAGGACCGCACCAAUAAGCGUUGAAAAGCUUCUGGAUGAGCUGAGGGUAGGGGUGAAAGGCUAAUCAAACUUGGAGAUAGCUCGUACUCCCCGAAAUGCAUUUAGGUGCAGCCUUGUGGGUUACUGAUGUGAGGUAGAGCGACUGAUAAGAUGCGAGGGCUUCACCGCCUAUCAAGUCUUGAUAAACUCCGAAUGCGCAGUAGUUCGAUCCCAGGAGUGAGGGCAUGGGUGCUAAGGUCCAUGUCCUAAAGGAGAAGAAUCCGGACCAUCAGCUAAGGUCCCGAAAUAAUUGCUAAGUUGAACUAACGAAGUCAGAUUGCUAAGACAGCUAGGAUGUUGGCUUGGAAGCAGCCAUUCAUUUAAAGAGUGCGUAACAGCUCACUAGUCGAGGAGUUUGGCGUGGAUAAUAAUCGGGCAUUAAGCAAUUUACCGAAGCUAUGGGAUCAGUAAUGAUCGGUAGGGGAGCAUUCCACUCUGCGUCGAAGGUGAAGCGUGAGCUUUGCUGGAGCGUGUGGAAAAGCAAAUGUAGGUAUAAGUAACGAUAAAGGGGGUGAGAAACCCCCUCGCCGAAAGACUAAGGUUUCCUGAUCAACGCUAAUCGGAUCAGGGUUAGUCGGGUCCUAAGGCUCAGCCGAACGGUGAGGCCGAUGGCAGAACAGGUUAAUAUUCCUGUACUACCUUAAAGAGUGACGUGGAGACGGAGGAGUGACAGCGCCGCGGACUGACGGAAUAGUCCGUUGAAGGGUGUAGAUGUUGAUUAUCCCAGGCAAAUCCAGGAUAAGAGUCGAACCUGAUAGUAUACCAAAUUCUUCGGAAUAAGGUAAUAGUGCGUGUAAGCAUACUCCCAAGAAAAUCCGCUAAACUUAAUCUUUAAGGUACCCGUACCGCAAACGGACACACGUAGUCGGGUUGAAUAUACUAAGGCGCUUGAGUGAUUCACGGUUAAGGAACUAGGCAAAUUGACCCUGUAACUUCGGGAUAAAGGGUCCCAACGAGAGUUGGGCGCAGAGAAUAGGUCCAGGCAACUGUUUAACAAAAACACAGGGCUGUGCAAAAUUGAAAGAUUACGUAUACAGCCUGACACCUGCCCGGUGCUGGAAGGUUAAGAGGAGAUGUCAUCGCAAGAGAAGCAUUGAAUUGAAGCCCCAGUAAACGGCGGCCGUAACUAUAACGGUCCUAAGGUAGCGAAAUUCCUUGUCGGGUAAGUUCCGACCUGCACGAAUGGUGUAAUGAUCUGGACGCUGUCUCAACCAUGAGCUCAGUGAAAUUGUAGUAUCGGUGAAGAUGCCGAUUACCCGCGAUGGGACGAAAAGACCCCGUGAACCUUUACUACAGCUUAGCAUUGACCUUGGUCAUCCGAUGUGUAGGAUAGGCCGGAGGCUUUGAAUCGGGUACGCCAGUAUCUGUGGAGCCAUCCUUGAAAUACGGCCCUUUGGCUGUCUGAGGUCUAACUCGCUUUAAGUGAGGACAUUGUUUGGUGGGUAGUUUGACUGGGGUGGUCGCCUCCAAAAGCGUAACGGAGGCUUCCAAAGGUACCCUCAGGUCGAUUGGUAACCGACCUUAUAGAGUGCAAUGGCAUAAGGGUGCUUGACUGGGAGGCAGACAUGCCGAGCAGGCAGGAAACUGGGGCAUAGUGAUCCGGUGCAAGUGUAUGGAAACUGCAUCGCUCAAAGGAUAAAAGGUACUCCGGGGAUAACAGGCUGAUCCCCCCCAAGAGCUCAUAUCGACGGGGUGGUUUGGCACCUCGAUGUCGGCUCGUCACAUCCUGGGGCUGGAGAAGGUCCCAAGGGUUGGGCUGUUCGCCCAUUAAAGUGGCACGCGAGCUGGGUUCAGAACGUCGUGAGACAGUUCGGUCUCUAUCUAUCGUGGGCGUUGGAGUUUUGCGUGGUGCCGCCACUAGUACGAGAGGACCGUGGUGGACAGACCUCCGGUUUACCGGUUGUGCCGCCAGGUGCACCGCCGGGUAUCUGAGUCUGGUAUGGAUAAGCGCUGAAAGCAUCUAAGUGCGAAGCCUUCCGCAAGAUUAGAACUCCUUAUAAGGGUCGUCAUAGACUAUGACGUUGAUAGGGUGUAGGUGUAAAGACAGCGAUGUCAAAGCCGAGCACUACUAAUUGCCCAAAACUUUCAUUC
rnacentral:rRNA from 1 species